GAUGAACGCUGGCGGCGUGCCUAAUACAUGCAAGUCGAGCGAACGGACGAGAAGCUUGCUUCUCUGAUGUUAGCGGCGGACGGGUGAGUAACACGUGGAUAACCUACCUAUAAGACUGGGAUAACUUCGGGAAACCGGAGCUAAUACCGGAUGAUAUUUUGAACCGCAUGGUUCAAAAGUGAAAGACGGUCUUGCUGUCACUUAUAGAUUGAUCCGCGCUGCAUUAGCUAGUUGGUAAGGUAACGGCUUACCAAGGCAACGAUGCAUAGCCGACCUGAGAGGGUGAUCGGCAACACUGGAACUGAGACACGGUCCAGACUCCUACGGGAGGCCGCAGUAGGGAAUCUUACGCAAGGGGCGAAAGCAUGACGGAGCAACGCCGAGUGAGUGAUGAAGGUCUUCGGAUCGUAAAACUCUGUUAUUAGGGAAGAACAUAUGUGUAAGUAACUGUACACAUCUUGACGGUACCUAAUCAGAAAGCCACGGCUAACUACGUG
rnacentral:rRNA from 1 species